rnacentral:rRNA from 1 species
GUCCAUGCCGUAAACGAUGAUAACUAGAUGUGUGAGGUAUUGACCCCUUACGUGUCGAAGCAAACGCGAUAAGUUAUCCGCCUGGGGAGUACGGUCGCAAGAUUAAAACUCAAAGGAAUUGACGGGGGCCCGCACAAGCGGUGGAGCAUGCGGUUUAAUUCGACGCAACGCGAAGAACCUUACCUAGGCUUGACAUGUACAGAAGUCCUUAGAAAUUUGGAUGUGCUCGCAAGAGAACUGUAACACAGGUGCUGCAUGGCUGUCGU